AGAAUCAUUGUCAAUGGGCGCAAGCCUGAACGUGCGACGCCGCGUGUGGGAUGAAGGCCUUCGGGUUGUAAACCACUGUCAGGGGCUAACAAUAAGCGUGUAACUCACGUGAUGAGUUAAACCCCAGAGGAAGUGACAGCUAACUAGGUCCCAGCAGCUGCGGUAAUCCGUCGGUCGCGAACGUUAUUCGGAUUUACCGGGCUUAAAGGGCGUGUAGGCGGCUUCGUAAGUCAAGGUUGAAAUCCGGCGGCUCACCCGUCGAACUGGUCUUGAUACUGCGGAGCUUGAGUCAUGGAGGGGUGCGCGGAACUUGUGGUGGAGCGGUGAAAUGCUCAGAUAUCAUAGGGAACACCGGAGGCGAAGGCGGCGCACUGGCCAUGUACUGACGCUGUAGCGCGAAAGCCAGGGGAGCGAAC
rnacentral:rRNA from 1 species